CAGCAGAAGUAGGUUCACGUUCAUCUAUCAUUACCCUCGUUCCUUGGGAGUGACAAAAUGGACUGGAUAAUCAGUGCUACAUUAUUCUUGUCAGUGUUAAAUGCUGCACUUGGUUUCAAUAUUGAUCCCGUGGCUUGGAAGACCCUGAGUAACUCUGCUGCUGGUUUUGGCUACCAGGUGGUGCAAAGACAAUCAGAUUUGCUCAUCAGUGCUCCACUGGAACAGCAUUCACAAAAUGGAAGAGGGAAAAUAUACAGCUGCAAAACCUCUUCCCAAAACUGCCAAAAUAUACAGUUUCAAG